GACGUAGGAGGCGAGCGUUGUCCGGAUUCAUUGGGCGUAAAGAGCGCGCAGGCGGCUUGGUAAGUCGGAUGUGAAAACCCGAGGCUCAACCUCGGGCGUGCAUCCGAAACUGCUCGGCUAGAGGUAGGUAGGGGAGAUCGGAAUUCCUGGUGUAGCGGUGAAAUGCGCAGAUAUCAGGAGGAACACCGGUGGCGAAGGCGGAUCUCUGGGCCUUACCUGACGCUCAGGCGCGAAAGCUAGGGGAGCGAACGGG
rnacentral:rRNA from 1 species